GAGCCAGUUGUACGUGCUGAUAGUGUGGGAGCCAGUCUAAAGGUGCCUUCAACGUGCUGAUAGUGUGGGAGCCAGUCUAAAGGUGCCAGUUCUACGUGCUAAUAGUGUGGGAGCCAGUUCUACGUGCUGAUAGUGUGGGAGACAGUUCUACGUGCUGAUAGUGUGGGAGACAGUUCUACGUGCUGAUAGUAGGGGAGACAGUUCUACGUGCUGAUAGUGUGGGAGCCAGUCUAAAGGUGCCAGUUCUACGUGCUAAUAGUGUGGAAGACAGUUCUACGUGCUGAUAGUGUGGGAGCCAGUUCUACAUGCUGAUAGUGUGGGAGCCAGUCUAAAGGUGCCAGUUGUACGUGCUGAUAGUGUGGGAGACAGUUCUACGUGCUGAUAGUGUUGGAGCCAGUCUAAAGGUGCCAGUUCUACGUGCUGAUAGUAAGGGAACCAGUCUAAAGGUGCCAGUUCUACGUGCUGAUAGUGUGGGAGCCAGUCUAAAGGUGCCAGUUCUACGUGCUGAUAGUGUGGGAACCAGUCUAAAGGUGCCAGUUCUACAUGCUGAUAGUGUGGGAGCCAGUCUAAAGGUGCCGGUUCUACGUGCUGAUAGUGUGGGAGCCAGUUCUACGUGCUGAUAGUGUGGGAGCCAGUCCUACGUGCUGAUAGUGUGGGAGCCAGUUCUACGUGCUGAUAGUGUGGGAGCCAGUCUAAAGGUGCCAGUUCUACGUGCUGAUAGUGUUGGAGCCAGUUCUACGUGCUGAUAGUGUGGGAGCCAGUCUAAAGGUGCCAGUUCUACAUGCUGAUAGUGUGGGAGCCAGUCUAAAGGUGCCAGUUGUACAUGCUGAUAGUGUGGGAGCCAGUCUAAAGGUGCCAGUUGUACAUGCUGAUAGUGUGGGAGCCAGUCUAAAGGUGCCAGUUGUACAUGCUGAUAGUGUGGGAGCCAGUCUAAAGGUGCCAGUUGUACAUGCUGAUAGUGUGGGAGCCAGUCUAAAGGUGCCAGUUGUACAUGCUGAUAGUGUGGGAGCCAGUCUAAAGGUGCCAGUUGUACAUGCUGAUAGUGUGGGAGCCAGUCUAAAGGUGCCAGUUGUACAUGCUGAUAGUGUGGGAGCCAGUCUAAAGGUGCCAGUUCUGAGGACACUGGUUAUUAUUGUUGUAUCUGCAGACUGUGUGAGUCACUGCCUUGUCUUUGGUCAUGUGUUUAGAGAACAUAUGUGAUUAGAAAUGGAUGUAAGAGCUCAGAAACGGCUCGUUAUUUUGCUCUGCUUCUGUGCUGGAGGCGUCUCCCUGUUGCAACGUGUACUAAUCCACUGACUUCAUCAACAACCGUGCCGGUCUUCAUUUAACCUGGAAACACCCCCAUUACAACAAGACAGAACAAACACAUCUGGGACCUGGCUACAGCCUAGAUGAUGCCUGAACAAGUGAA